ACGCUCGACACCUACGGGGGCAGCAGUCGGGAAUAUUGCGCAAUGGAGGAAACUCUGACGCAGUGACGCCGCGUAUAGGAAGAAGGUUUUCGGAUUGUAAACUAUUGUCGUUAGGGAAGAAAAAGGACAGUACCUAAGGAGGAAGCUCCGGCUAACUACGUGCCAGCAGCCACGGUAAUCUGAGCGGGCUGGCAAGGC
rnacentral:rRNA from 1 species